GGAAAAUGCCUUGAGCAUGUACAUCUAGAAAUGUGAGACUCUUCUGAAGUUAAUUACUAUGGGGGUGGCUUCUGAGGUCGAGCUACUGCUGUUUACAAAAAUGGAGUUUGGGUUUUGAAUGAAUGAGAGUGUACGAGUUCUCAUAGCAGAUUUGCAGAAUGGGACAAGAAGAGAAACAAGAUCAUUCCAGGAGGGGUUCCUGGCACUGUUCACAAUUUCACUUGAGGAGGGGGAAUUUCUUCAUCCAGCAGCCCAUCUAUCUCUGUUCCUGCCCUUGGCCUCCUCUCCCAGCCCACUGAAGACACGCAGACUUGGAGACCAGGUGGUGCUUGAGAGAGAAGGCUAAGAUCAUGAUGGUCCUGG